AUGGUGCAGGCGAGCGACGGAGGCGUCACAUCGGACGACGGCGAUGCACAGGAGGUGGCUCACGUUCGCCAUACGAGCUCGAGGAGGAAGGAGGCGCUGGGCAGCGCGCGAAAACGGAGGAGAGGGAGGACGCGGCAGUGGCAGGAGGAAGAACGGGCGAGGGGAAGCUCUCCCGGUGGCUGGGGAACCGAGCGCUCGCAUGCGCGUACGCGUCCCUGGGCGACGGCGCACAGGAGGAAGACGAGGGGAGAGAUGGGCAUCUGGCGAGAGGCCAGGGUUAUAGGGUUGGAGGGGUGCGGUUGGGCCUAG
rnacentral:rRNA from 1 species